rnacentral:rRNA from 1 species
AAAUUAAAGAGUUUGAUCAUGGCUCAGAUUGAACGCUGGCGGCAGGCCUAACACAUGCAAGUCGAGCGGUAGCACAGAGAGCUUGCUCUCGGGUGACGAGCGGCGGACGGGUGAGUAAUGUCUGGGAAACUGCCUGAUGGAGGGGGAUAACUACUGGAAACGGUAGCUAAUACCGCAUAAUGUCGCAAGACCAAAGUGGGGGACCUUCGGGCCUCAUGCCAUCAGAUGUGCCCAGAUGGGAUUAGCUAGUAGGUGGGGUAACGGCUCACCUAGGCGACGAUCCCUAGCUGGUCUGAGAGGAUGACCAGCCACACUGGAACUGAGACACGGUCCAGACUCCUACGGGAGGCAGCAGUGGGGAAUAUUGCACAAUGGGCGCAAGCCUGAUGCAGCCAUGCCGCGUGUGUGAAGAAGGCCUUCGGGUUGUAAAGCACUUUCAGCGGGGAGGAAGGCGGUGAGGUUAAUAACCUCAUCGAUUGACGUUACCCGCAGAAGAAGCACCGGCUAACUCCGUGCCAGCAGCCGCGGUAAUACGGAGGGUGCAAGCGUUAAUCGGAAUUACUGGGCGUAAAGCGCACGCAGGCGGUCUGUCAAGUCGGAUGUGAAAUCCCCGGGCUCAACCUGGGAACUGCAUUCGAAACUGGCAGGCUAGAGUCUUGUAGAGGGGGGUAGAAUUCCAGGUGUAGCGGUGAAAUGCGUAGAGAUCUGGAGGAAUACCGGUGGCGAAGGCGGCCCCCUGGACAAAGACUGACGCUCAGGUGCGAAAGCGUGGGGAGCAAACAGGAUUAGAUACCCUGGUAGUCCACGCCGUAAACGAUGUCGAUUUGGAGGUUGUGCCCUUGAGGCGUGGCUUCCGGAGCUAACGCGUUAAAUCGACCGCCUGGGGAGUACGGCCGCAAGGUUAAAACUCAAAUGAAUUGACGGGGGCCCGCACAAGCGGUGGAGCAUGUGGUUUAAUUCGAUGCAACGCGAAGAACCUUACCUGGUCUUGACAUCCACAGAACUUUCCAGAGAUGGAUUGGUGCCUUCGGGAACUGUGAGACAGGUGCUGCAUGGCUGUCGUCAGCUCGUGUUGUGAAAUGUUGGGUUAAGUCCCGCAACGAGCGCAACCCUUAUCCUUUGUUGCCAGCGGUUAGGCCGGGAACUCAAAGGAGACUGCCAGUGAUAAACUGGAGGAAGGUGGGGAUGACGUCAAGUCAUCAUGGCCCUUACGACCAGGGCUACACACGUGCUACAAUGGCAUAUACAAAGAGAAGCGACCUCGCGAGAGCAAGCGGACCUCAUAAAGUAUGUCGUAGUCCGGAUUGGAGUCUGCAACUCGACUCCAUGAAGUCGGAAUCGCUAGUAAUCGUAGAUCAGAAUGCUACGGUGAAUACGUUCCCGGGCCUUGUACACACCGCCCGUCACACCAUGGGAGUGGGUUGCAAAAGAAGUAGGUAGCUUAACCUUCGGGAGGGCGCUUACCACUUUGUGAUUCAUGACUGGGGUGAAGUCGUAACAAGGUAACCGUAGGGGAACCUGCGGUUGGAUCACCUCCUUACCUUAAAGAA